GUUCCGCCGGGUAGGCCGGAGGGCGGCCCCGGCCUCCGGGGCUCGGUCCGCCGCCCCGAGGAAGAUCUGACUUGUUGCGGGGGCCCAGGUCCGGGGUGAAGUUUGGAAGACGCCGUAUAGGGCUGCUGCAAAGACAACAUGCCGGUGAUAUUCAACCCAGUUCUGAUUCUAUCCGUUUACCAAGGGUGGAGGGGGACCCCGACCUGGAGCUACACUCAGACUUUGGCUCUUCGCGGUGGUGGGGCCUGCUCCCGUGGGUGCACGGCCAGCUGCUUUUCCACAUCCCAAGGGCACCUUCGGGGUCUGGGGGUUCCGCGGCCCGUGUACGGGCUGAUUCUAAACCGGCACCACUGACUGGAGCGUCACGGGAGAGAACGGAACUCCGGGAGCUGUGAAUCGGCCGUCGGAGGUUCUGUACUCGAAAGCAGCAUAUGGUAACGGAUACACCAGUUUGAUAACACGUUUGUGAACUUUGAGCCGGCUGAAAUCUGUGAGGGAAGCUCACCGCCCUACACCUGAGAUCAGCAGCUCUGGCAUCUGUCAGCCCGUGUUUCCAGGGCAGAUGUAACAAGCCGCAUCUCACCGCAUGGAACCAGAGGAAAUAGCAGAGUGUUUCAGAUAAAGCAAAAAGCAUUCCAACGUGCUGCACCACGGCUUGGUCUGGUAACUGAACUGCGGCAGACGGACAGGCUCAACACCGGGUAGUCAAAUCUGCCCAAAGCAGCACGGCCACCAGCCUACCCACCACCAAGGACAUAAAUACAGAAAGGUGCCGGAGAAAGGCCAGUAACAUCAUGAAGGAUCCCACCCACCCUGCUCAUGGGCUGUUUGUCCCACUCCCAUCAGGGAGGAGGCUCUGUAGCAUCCACACCAGGACCAGCAGACUCAAAAACAGUUACUUUCCCCAAGCAGUAAGGCUGAUCAACACCUCCACCCACACACCCUGAAACAACAUCAUUAUUUCCUGUUGGAGUCUCCUCUGCCUAGUGUUACUUUAUGGACAAUCAAUCUGAUGUAUUUACAUUUACUUCUUGUUUAUUAUUGUCUAUUAUCUAGAGAAAGUAGAGGGCUAUAUGUAACCCUAGGUAAUUUCUAAAGGAAGUACAUGUUCGGCAUAGUAUUGUGGGCCGAAGGGCCUGUAAUGUGCUGUAUGUUUUCUAUGUUUCUAUUGCAUUCUUUACCCAAGUGUUUCUUCUGUGCUUCACCGGAUCCAGAGUAAGAGCUACCUUGUUCUCCUUUUCACUCCUACGCUGGAAAUGACAUUAAAGAAUCUAGAUGUGAGCCACAGCUGGUGUUGGGUUGCUGAUUGUUACAUGUACAGAGAAACAGAGAGGAGCUUCAUCUGCCUGCUAGCCAGAGCAAUCCUUAUAAACAAGUACACUCAGUGACUUCUUUAGUAGGUACACCAGUAAUAGCUGUUUGUUAAUGAAAAUACUGUAUCUAAUCAGCCAGUCACGUGGCAGCAACUCAGUGCAUAAAAGCAUACAGACAUGGUCAAGAGGUUCAGUUGUUGUUCAGACGAAAUAUCAGAAUGGGGUAAAACCGUGACUGAAGUGACUUUGACCAUGGAAUGAUUGUUGGUGCCAGACAGGGUGGUUUGAGUAUCUCAGAAACUGCUAAUCUCCUGGGAUUUUCAUACACAACAGUCUAGAGUUUACAGAGAAUGACGAGAAAAACAAAAAACAGCCAGUGAGUGGCUGUUCUGUGGGUGAAAAUGUCUUGUUAAUGAGGGAGAUCAGAGGAGAACGGCCAGCCAGGUUCAAGCUGCUAAAGUGACAGUAACUCAAAUAACCAGACAUUACAACAGUGGCAUGCAGAAGAGCAUCUCUGAACACACAACACAUCAAACCUUGAAGUGGAUGGGCUACAGCAGCAGAAGAUCAUGAACAUACACUCAGAGACCACUUUAUGAGGUUCAGGAGGUAAGUAAUGAAGAGGCCAUGGAGUGCACGUUGAAGUAGUAGUGGAGGGAAAACAACAGAAUACGUAAUGCUAAAAACAGAACAAUACGAGGGGCAUACAGUCCAUUUCUCCCACCCUGCCCCUGCAUCGUCUCUGAGUCUGUGGGUGUGUCCAUGAGUUCCCUCUCUUCACCCCUUAUCACAGCCCAAACUCCAAACCUGCCUUGUUUCAGCACACAGCAUGCUUGGACGUUCUUCACCAUAUCACUGAUACAGCUCAUGAAGAGCUGAUCCCUGUGAAACCCCCGGCAAAGGUCACCAAUCCCCAAAGCAGCUCUUAGUGUGCGUUGUUUCUGUCUGUUAACCAACAUAUCACUGUCUAUGAAACUGUGCGUUGUAAUCUUACCCAAUAACCUUCUCUGGCCAUCUUUUUGGGAAACUUCAAACAUAUCUGAUCCAUUGCUUCUCUAAGCCAUUCAGAUAGUAACAUGGUUUAAUUAAUUUUUUUUUAAAAGAUAAAGAUUAGUUUUAUUUGUCACAUGUACAUUGAAACAUACAGUGAAAUGCGGCCUCCUCUACUGUCACAAUGAGGCCACACUCAGGUUGGAGGAACAACACCUCAUAUUUCUUCUGGGUAGCCUCCAACCUGAUGGCAUGAACAUCAAUUUCUCCAACUUCUGAUAAUGCCCCCCCCCGCCAACCUUUCACCAUUCCCGUUUCCCUCUCUCACCUUAUCUCCUUACCUGCUCAUCACCUUCCUCUGGUGUUCUUCCUCCUCUUCCUCCAUGGUCUUCUACCCUCUCCUGUCAGAUUCCCCCUUCUCCAGCCCUGUAUCCCUUUCACCAAUCAACUUCCCAGCUCUUUACGUCACCCCUCCCCUCCUCCCUCCCGGUUUCACCCAUCACCUACCUCAUUGUUCUGCCUCCUUCCAUCCCCUCACCUUCUUACUCGGACUCCUCGUCUUUUUCUCCAGUCCUGAUGAAGGGUCUCAGCCUGAAAUGUCAACUGUUUACUCUUUUCCAUAGAUGCUGCCUGGCCUGCUGAGUUCCCCCAGCAUUUUGUGCGUCAUUUGGAUUUCCUGCGUCUGCAGAUUUUCUCAUCUCAGUGAAAUGUGUCGUUUGGCCAACUACCAACACAGUCUGAGGAUGUGCUGGGGGCAGCCCACAAGAGUCUCCAUGCUUCCAGCACCAACGUAACAUGUUCAGAACUUCUUAACCCUAACCCAUACGUCUUUGGAAUGUGGGAGGAAACCCACACGGUCAUGGGGAGAACGCACAAACUCCUUACAGGUAAUAAUGGAACCUGGGUCACUGUCUCUGUAAUAAUAUUACACUAUCCACUCCGCGGCCGUAUCACCCGAACCAUACCAGCCCAGUACAUCACAGUCAAAACUGUGUGCCCUAGUUUUAUUGAAUUAAUUUCUCUGGCAUCUUCUGUUUGGAAACCUUCCCUAAGCCAUUCAGAUAGUUAUAAGCUCUACAUGUUUGUCAGACAUGACACCUGUUAAAUUCAUGCAUUUCUGCCACUCACAUUAUCAUGUCAAAUACAUAUCUACCUCUGCCUCAGCUCUGAUGCCCAGCUUCGCCCCGACUUGUGAUCGCAGGCGAACUGCCAAUUCGCUCUGCCAUCUUUGUCUUCUUUUGCAUAUCAGGUGUUUGUCAGGUUUUGUUUAUGUAUAGUUUUUCAUUAAUUCUAUUGUAUUUCUUUAUUUUCCUGUAAACACAUGUAAGAACAUGGGUCUCAGGACAGUGUAUGGUGAGAUUAUGCACUUUGAUUUUUAAAACUUUACUUUACAACUUUGACUUAAAUCAGACGUCAGUGCAGUGCAUCAGCAGGUGAACCAAGUACCUCAGGGAACCCCUCCCUGUCCAAACUUCUCAAACGUUGAAAUUGAGUUUGCAUCCACCACUUAUGCUGGAAGCUCAUUCCACACUCUUACGACUCUCUGAAGGAAGAAGUUUCUCCUCAUGUUCCUCUUAAACUUCUCAUCUUUCACCCUUAACCCAUGACCUCUGGUUGCAGUCCCACUCAACCACAGUGGAAAAAGCCUGCUUGCAUUUACCCUACCUAUACCGCUUAUAAUUUUGUAUAUUUCUAUCAAAUGUCCUCUCAAUCUUCUACAUUCUAAAGAAUACAGUUCUAACUUAUUCAAUCUAUCCAUAUAACUCAGGUCCUCCAGACUCGGCAACAUCCUUGCAAAUUUUCUCUGUACUCUUUCAAUCUUGUUUGCAGUUUCCUGUAGGUAGGUGACCAAAACUGCACACAAUAUUCCAAAUUGGCCUCACCAACGUCUUAUACAACUUCAACAUAACAUCCCAUCUUCUGUCCAUACACAGAUGCGUCAAAAUUUUUCUUUAUGACCGUAUCUGCCUGUGACGCCACCUUCAAUGAAUCAUGGACCUGUGUUCCCAGAUCCCUUUGUUCUACCCCACUCCCCAGUGCCCGACCGUUCACUGUGUAAGACUUGCCCUGGUUGCAAAAUCUUUUGCACUUGACCUACCCAGGUUCAAUGGCACCACUUCCUGUGAGGAGUUUGUACGUUACCCCCAAGGUCGUGUGGACUUCCUCCUGCCGCUCUGGUUUCCUCCUACAUUCCAAGACAUACGGGUUAGUAGGAUAGUUGGUGACAGGGCUGUAACUGGGCGAGGCCGGAGGGUCCAGCAGCACCCAGGCGGGCAGAGGGGUGCAUCAGGACAGAGAGUGGAGAAGAGAUGGCCAGAAAUGGAAGUCCUUUCAGAAGAGGAGAUUUGCUCCACUUCAACUUUCUGUAUUAGAUUUUUUGGUGAUACAGCACAGAGUUGUCCCUCUGGCCCUUUGAACUAAGCCACCCCAGCAAGCGCCCACAACCCCAAUUUAACCCCAGCUGAACCAUGGGACAAUUUACAAUGACCAAUUAACCGACCCGGUACGCCUCUGGACUGGGGUGGGGGGGGGGGAGGCUGGAGCACCCAGAAACCCACGCAUUCCAUGGGGAGGGUGUACAGAUGAUGUUCGAAUUGAGCUCUGAACUCCCAGCACCCUCAGCAGUAAUAGUGUCUCACUAACCACCUCAUUGCCAUGGCUGCCAGACUUGCUGAGUUCCCCCAGCAUCUUGCAUGUUGCUCUGGAUUUCCAGCAUCUGCAGAAUCUCAGUUACAUGUUGAAUUUUAAAUACAUUUACUGUUAUCUACAAUACUUGAGCCCCUGUGCGCGCCACCAUUCCCAGAACAUCCCCACCACGGAGGCAUGCCCCUUCUCCAGGGACACGGGCACGGAUGCAACCCAGGAGGAAGGGCAGCCAGUUGGCUCAGGAAGAGCCAUCAACUGCCCUCCGCCUGGACCCAUGCAUGGCCAGUUUGCUCAAACUAGGGGAUCGCCCAAACUGCCCUCAUCCCUCCUCAGCGGGUGACCAUUGAUCAGGGAAGCGGGGCUGACCUGCAGCCAGAAGCUGAGGAGCAGCCACUUCAGAGACUCAAACAGGAGCUGCACCCUCUCACACUCCACAAGGGCAGGGUACUAGCUCCUCCUGACCACAGAAAGGACAGCUGGACUGGCUCAAAAUCUGCCAAUGUUCCCUAUGCAACGCCCUCCUCCCCACUUCUCCUGCCUUCCAAUCACUUGCUUGGUUUAACCACUCCUUUAAAAUGCCAAAAAAGGCAAGACUCCUUGCCCCUUCCUAUCACAAUCAUCUCCAUUGCAGCUUGGCAUCAAGUUUCAUUUGAUUCUAUGGGAUUCCAUGAACAAGUUUCAGUAAAAGGUAACAGCACAUAAGUGCCAUCAUAAAGAUUUCACCUAAAGCUUUAUCAAACUUGCAUAGAUGUGUAGUGGAGAGAAUACUGACUGGCUAUAUCAUAUGGAAACAACAAUUGCCUGGAAUGGAAAAUCCUACAAAAAGCAGUGGAUACGGACUAGCCCUUCAUGGGCAAAGCCCUCCCCACCACUGAGCACAUUUACACAGAGUGCUGUAACAAGAAAAAAGCAGCAAUCAUCAAGGGCCCCAACCAUUCAGACCAUGUUCUGCUCUCAUUACGACUAUUGGGCAUGAGGUACAGGAGUCUCAGAUCCCACACCAUCAGGAUCAGGAACAGUUAUUACCCCUCAAACAUCAGGUCCCACACCACCAGGUUCAGGAACAGUUAUUACCCUACAACCAUCAGGUCCCACACCACCAGAUUCAGGAACAGUUAUUAGCCCGCAACCAUCAGGUCCCACACCACCAGG